rnacentral:rRNA from 1 species
CCUACGGGUGGCAGCAGUGGGGAAUAUUGCACAAUGGGGGAAACCCUGAUGCAGCGACGCCGCGUGAGUGAAGAAGUAUCUCGGUACGUAAAGCUCUAUCAGCAGGGAAGAAAAUGACGGUACCUGACUAAGAAGCCCCGGCUAACUACGUGCCAGCAGCCGCGGUAAUACGGAGGGGGCAAGCGUUAUCCGGAUUUCCUGGGUGUAAAGGGAGCGUAGACGGCAGGACAAGUCUGGAGUGAAAUCCCGGGGCUUAACCCCGGAACUGCUUUGGAAACUGUGCGGCUGGAGUGCAGGAGGGGUAAGCGGAAUUCGUGGUGUAGCGGUGAAAUGCGUAGAUAUUAGGAGGAACACCGGUGGCGAAGGCGGCUUACUGGACUGUAACUGACGUUGAUGCUCGAAAGCGUGGGGAGCAAACAGGAUUAGAUACCCCUGUAGUC